rnacentral:lncRNA from 1 species
CAGACUUGCCAAUACAAACAUGAAUCCAGAAUAAAAUUUUAGAAUCCAUGCAGGCAUACAAGUACCUAGCAGAAAAAAAACAUAAAUAAAUUUAAAAAAUCGGUUUACAUAUCCCAGGUUCGUAUACAGGCAUACAGACCUUAACUAUGCCAAAAUAAAUAUAUUAAGGUUCUAAAUACACCAGAUUUGAAUGCAGGAAUACAGACCUGACAAAUACUUAGUUAUAUACGCAGAAAGUGAGAGUUUAACAUACACCAGGUCGGUAUGCUAGCAUACAGACCUGACAAAUACUAGUAUAUGCAUAGAGUGAGAGCUUAACAUACA